rnacentral:rRNA from 1 species
UAUCGCCUACGGGGGGCAGCAGUGAGGAAUAUUGGUCAAUGGGCGGGAGCCUGAACCAGCCAAGCCGCGUGAAGGAAGAAGGCGCCAGGCGUCGUAAACUUCUUUUGUCGGGGAACAAAGGGCGCCACGUGUGGCGUUGUGAGUGUACCCGAAGAAAAAGCAUCGGCUAACUCCGUGCCAGCAGCCGCGGUAAUACGGAGGAUGCGAGCGUUAUCCGGAUUUAUUGGGUUUAAAGGGUGCGUAGGCGGGCUGCCAAGUCAGCGGUAAAAUUGCGGGGCUCAACCCCGUCGAGCCGUUGAA